AAGAACACGCCCUGGAAAACAAAGUCCGGAGAAGAGGAAAGCGUUAUGUUGGGUCAUUUGUUUCUCUAUUAAGACGUUGCUUCCCUGAUUCAUCUCUCUUCAUGAGCUUUUUGACGACUUCGUCCCAUUUGGUCUUUGGAUUCCGAGGCCUGGCUUUGUCAUUCAGGACAACAUCAGCAGACUUUUCUUCCUGUGAAGGCCGUGAUUCUUCAUCUUGACGAUUUGAAUCCGGAUUUUCCUCAUCUUGAGAGGUCACAGCAUGGGGAAUGUUUAAGCUCACUGCCCUUUCCAGUGCAUCUUUGUGCUCCAUCUCUAUUGACCUCAACCUCUCCAUCUUUUGUAUGUUUGGAGCAGUUUUUACAGUCUCAGCAUUGCUUUCCCUCAUUAUCUAUCAGUCAAUUUGAGUUGAUCUAUCAUCUCAACAUGCUACAUAAUUAUGUACACUCGUUGAACAAUCAAUGAGCAACAUAUAUAAAUAGAUUCAGGGUAAUUUAGGAAUUGCAGUGAACCAAAGGAAUACCAAGUCAGCCUCACUUACUUGCAAAGCCUUUUCUGCUUCUCUUUCUAUCCAGAUAAUUCCAUGAUCAGAUGUGGCGUUACAAGAUAAGACGAUAUGCUCGAAUCUCCCAUCAACCGGAAUAGCAGUUCUUACUUCUGGAGGAUACCUCCCACAUCUGCACAUACAGAGAAGUGAAAAGCUUGGGUAAGACAUUCGAGUAUAAUUUUUGCUUCUUAAAAACAGAACCAUUUUUCCAUUCCAUUAUUCUUUUUUUUCUCCUAGGACAGCUGAAAAGAUAAAUAAAUAAAUAAAUAAGAACUACUUUCACUUUCCACAAACAAAAUGAGAGGAAGUCAAUCAAAUUCCUGCAAUAAUAAAAUUGCUUUAAAAAGAAAAAAAGAAAAACGAGAUGCAAGACUGUGAAAAGAUAUGGAAAUAUGACGAAAACACCUAAUGACAAUAAAAAAAAAAAAAGCAAUGACAUACUUUGAAUUUGUUUGAGAUGCAAAGUGAAAAAAUGGUUUUUAAAUCUCCAGGUAUGUAAUGGAUUACAAAUCAAUACUUCAGCUCCUUAAAUGCUUAGAUUUACAGACAAGAUGAUACUGCCAUCUCUUAAUUGGUUGUCUAGCCCGCAGCAGCAGUUAAAAGAUAAUAUUUGCACAAACAAGCUGGGAAACAUAUUAAAAUUGAGAAAAAGAAAUUAAUAACUUGCNNNNNNNNNNNNNNNNNNNNNNNNNNNNNNNNNNNNNNNNNNNNNNNNNNNNNNNNNNNNNNNNNNNNNNNNNNNNNNNNNNNNNNNNNNNNNNNNNNNNCUCACAUCGUGAGACAAACAUCUUUACUUUUGGUUGUCAGUGUAACGAUCAGCAACACAUUUGCUAAGUUGAAGACAUCCAUAGAUAAGAGAAAUACAGAUAGAGCCAUUUAUAGAAUGUGUGACAAUGCUAACAAUCUCAUAGUAAUAGGUCCUUGGACAUAAGGAUAUUCCUUAGUUUCCAAUGGUUGUAAAGUCAUUGCUAAGCAUUUUUUAGUUUACAAUAACAACAUCAAAUGUUAAUUAUAACAUUCUCUAACAGCUGCAUAAUGUUUUGUUACUUAGAUUAUCCAAAGUGGUAGUUGCUCCACAAACUGUAGAAUGCAAAGUGUGAUCCAUUAAAACAAGGAUACAAAGUGUGAUAAUCCUACACCAUGGGGUGCAGAUCUUAAUUUCCCGAAAUGUUUCCAAGCAAAGAGAUGCUGGUUAAAAAAAGCAGCCCUUCACUGCAUAAAUUCUCUGAGUCCCUUAUUCAGCUUACUUUUGAGACCAAAAGCAUGCUAAGACAUUUCUGCACCAGUCUAGCUAAAAAAUCUCCAAAAGUUUUCUUAUAAUGUAAUAUAUUACAGCUUAUAAUGUCCCUACUGUGUUCAUACCUGCAAAAUUUUCUUUCAACAAUAUGAUACAUUCUUCCAGGUGCAUAAAGUCUCCUUGUGUCUCUGAGCUUCCUACCCUCAGGUAUAAAGGUGUCCCUCAGGCAGACCGCAAACAGUAAGCAUGGCAAGCUGUCCAAAGCACCAAGGCCUGGAUUAAGAAGUGAUGAUGACAACUCACUCCAAGAGGUCUUUAGGAGCACACGAAAGGAAAGAAAGUCGAGCCAUAACAUAAAAUGUAAUGCAACUCACCAGAAAAUUGACUUGAAAAUAUCCUCCAGGGGGGUAGGAGUUCGUGGUAAAAAAUCAUCCUGGACAAAAAAGAUGACAACAGGAUCAUUUACCCGAAAAGAAACCUCAGUAACUACAGAAGAGCAUUGCCUUUCUUCAAACACCUAUAGAGGAAAAGCAUGCAGUUGCUUAAUGACAUUCCUCUGAUCUUAAAGGUCUGCUUCCUGUGUCAAUUCCUCAAGGUAAAGCUGAAUCCCACAUCGUACUACUUAGGAUGUGAAAUAAUAGUAGUAGGUGGUCCAUAGGAAAUUCUUGAGAAUUGAGAUCAACAACUUACUUGUAUCUAAAAUGAAAUAAUUGUUUACCCACCACCUACGUAGUUGGGUGCGGGGAUGACCACAGGUGCACAGCCACCAGACAACAAAAAUACAUAUCACUCUAUUAGCUCCUGAGUUUUCUCAAGGGAUUCAUCACGGCGCUCUAGCUUUAGGCUGAAAAUUACCACUGGGUUGCAAGAAAUACUGCCUAAAUAACGCCUAUUUACGAAGACAUAAACAUGAGGUUUUAACUCACAAAGCCCAGUAUGAUUACCAGUUUUCAUGAUGCCCAAAGUCAAGUCGGACCACACCAGAAACUGCGUUCUCAAAUAAAAGAGGGAAAAACGACAACGGAACUCCAGAAUGAAGUAGCUAUAGACAUUACAGCAACAACCACCUAUAGUCAACAGCCGACCGAGUCAAAGCUACACCGCUAAGUUGAGUGAAGUUUCCAACAGUUGAAGAAACAUCAGCUUAUUGCACAGUCAACCGAAAACCAAAGCCAUGAGAAGUUCGAACCAUCCAAUUACCUGCAAGAUUAUAGAGUGAAUCACGUCAGCAUACUUCACCGCCAGAUUAAGCGACAUACACCUCGCCGGAGCCACCGCGUAACACCGCACUUUACUCCGCGGAACUCCGCCCAGCUGAUCCCCAUGGUUCACCACGAUCACCGCCAAGAUCGAAGCCACGCCGGACCCGAGCGAGUGGCCCGCAAAAACAAGGUCGUAAUUCGACCCGUUCUCGACCCACAGCCUCUUCAACGUCUCCGAUUCCUCAUUUAACAGCCAAAUCGCCGACUUCAACAGCCCUCGGUGGACGUAACCCCCGUCAAACAUCUGCUGGCCGAGCCGAUUGUCCAGCAGGAGCUCGUAGUCGCUCUCCUUGGCGAGGUUGAGGCCGCGGAUCGCGACGACAAUCUCGCGGUGGUCAUGGUCGACGUAGAUGAUGUAGGGCGGGGCGUGGCCGAGGGUCUGCUCGUAGGUGACGCGCUUGACGACCCAGUCCGGCUCGAGGCGGUAGCCGCCGGCGGGGAGGUACUUGGGGCGGCGGAGAUCGGGCUCGUAGACGGCGAGGAUGAGGCGGCAGACGCGGGGGACGGGCUCGAACUCGUCGGGGGUGGCGGGGGGCCACGUGGCGCUGUCGUCGGAGCCGACGUAGGUGCAGCGCUUCCACAGCCACCGGGAGAAGCCCAGGAUCACCACGCACUCCACGCCGCAGGAGACCGACAUGGCGGGCCCAGGAGGAGAUCCCCCCGGGGGUUUCUUGAUUCCUCAACAACCGCCGCGAUUCAAGAAGGAGACCAAGGGGGCGCCAAUGUCUGCCGGUUUUGGCAUCAGGGUCGCGAGGGACGGAGGUCGCCGGCGUCCGGAAGGGGGAAAGUUCGCAUCUUUUCGAGUUCUAGUGAGGGAGCGGCGACGGUGUCUUCUGCCCCCGUUUCUUGAAAAUUGAAAUGAAGGGGGUCAGCUUUCCUUUGCUGUAGCUGAGCCUGGAUCUGUGCGCUCUUUGCUUUGCUUUGCUUUGCUUAGUGACGACGGCGGGUUCCAUUUGUCUCUCCGUCUUUAUUUCUUGUGUUUUCUUGUGGGGGCGACGAUGCGUUUCAAGAUUUGGACCUGGUCGCUCGAUUUGACUGCAGUGUGACACGCUGUAAAAGCGGACAAAGCAAGAUGCUUUACCGACACGUGGCCACGUCGUGGUUCCUCUUUUUUCUUUGCUUUCUUUAUCUUCUUCAUUGAUAGAAUCACCCGGGAGAGCACCGAUCGUCGGAAAGAGUGAUCGCGGUGGCCGCCGCCGCCGUCAUGGCUGCCCCCAUCCCCCGUUGCCGCGUAUACUCCUGCACAUUGAGAUCACUUCUAGUUUAUAGCGUCUUGAGGUCCUAAAGUCUUUCUUGACCCCAAUUAAAGCGACUACCUUUAGUUGGGCAGAAUGAAAUGAAAUCAAAGAAGAGGAAAUGUAAGUAAAUUCUUUAUUUGUUAAAUUAUGACACUGGAAUAAAAUAGAAUAUGAAUUUUGAGGAUAAUUAUACAAGUGAUUAAUGAACUUUGGAUAACUGUGCAAUAUCAUUCUUAAAUUUAUGAUUUGUUUAAUCUAGUUUUCGAACUUCCGGUAAAGAAUUCAAUUUAGUUUCUUAUUGCAUAAAAUUAUUCAAUGUAAUCCUUCCAUUAAUUUAAGUUAAUGGAAUUUAUUGAUUUGACUUUCAAAUCCACAAUUCCCACAAAAUAAAAAUCAUUUUUCUUAAAAUUGAACAAAAAAUAUUAACAAGGAUACUAUAUUCUAAUUUAAGUUGAUUUUUUUGUGGAUAAUAUAUGUAUGGCGUUCUUCUUUUCUUGGUCAACCAUUUAAACGUAUAAAAUUUAAAACCAACUCAGCAAAUUCCUUUAACAUGAAUUAAUAAAAAGAAAACAUUGAAUAUUUUUAUAUAAUCUAAAAACUAAAUUGAACAUGAAAAUUUCGGGACCACAUUGAAUAACUUAAAAUUUUAAAGGUGACAUUACACAUUAGACCAAGAUUUAGAAAUCACAUCGAACCAAAUAAUAGUUAAAGAAUGACAUUACAUAUUGGCCAAAAUUUAUAGACCAUUUAUAUCAUUCUUGGUUGCAUGUAAAGCAAUAUAAAGUAUCACAUAUCAGUUUUCCUUCAUUUUUGCUAGUUAUCACAUAUCAAUCUUUUUUUUUUUCCAGUUAUCAUAUAUCAAUCUAACUUAACAAUCAAUUUAGUGCUUAAAUGACAAACACCUUCUAAACUUGUGAUUUUCAUCUAACGUCCAAUUUGCAUGAUCCAUAUGUUGUUCAAAUGCUCGUGCAAUAUACUUCCUUGGAAUGAGCGAGUUUUCUUUCUUUUUUUUCCCCUUGGUCAUAAGAAUGAGCGAGUUGGAAAAGUUAUAUUUGUAGACUUUUACAUGUACUAGUGAUUAAUUCGUGCCUUCGACGUUUUAAGAAUGGUCAUACAUAUAUCAAAAUAUAUAUCAUGAACAUUGUUUUAAUAAGCAUAUAAAAGGCCGGAAAUAAUUGAUAUAAAACAAACUCAUAUACUUAUUGUUUCUGUAAAAAAAUGUUUUUGUAUUGUAACAACUCAUCAUUAAGAUGUACUUCUUGUCUCUAGUAGCAAUGAGCUGUGUACAUUUAGCAUAUUCUUUUUCUUUGAUCUUUUCAAAGAAAUUUUAAUAGUAUUAGAAUUGCUGUUAGAAAGGUUCGAGACGUCUCUCAUAUAUAUUAACAAUUUACGCGUUGAAUGCAAUUAGCUAAUGGCCUAAAUUUUAUGAAAAUAAAUUUCACUGCCUUUUCUUGCUUAACAAGACUAGAAAUAAAUAUGUGGCAUCAAAUACCAGCUUAACAUAGGUUUUGCGUGUUUUGCUAAAAAUUCAUUCUCUUCGAAUUAUCACCGGACGAAGGACAGAAAAAUAUUACAUUUAUAGGCAAGUGCAUAAAAAAUAAGGGAAAAAAUUAUAUAGAAAUUUAAAAAAUAAUAACAUAGAGAGAAUAUAGUCUUGCGUGUUUUGCUCAACAUACAUUCUCUUCGAAUUAUCACUUGACAAAGGACAGAAAAAUAUUACAUUUUUUGACGAGUGCGUAAAAAACAAGGGAAAAAAUUACGUAGAGAGAAUAUUGUAAAGAGCCAGAAUCUUAACAAAUCUUAGUGAUGCGUAUAUUGUAAAUAGCCAGAAUAUUGCAAACUAAGCAAACGCCAUAACAAGGAGAAUCAGUAUUGUCUGGCCAAGAGAAAAGAUUCAGUAUUUAAGCAUCUGAAUGAAUCACUCUGUCAACACUCAACCGCGAUUCUUCGUCUCCCAAAAAGUUUUUAGCUUGAUGCGUUAAACUUUGCAGCUGAUGAACUGAAUUGUAUAGUUAUUUGCUGAGAGGAAAAACAAACCCCGAAUUCUCAACUGAUCCAUGCUAGACCAACCUGUUCUCGUUACUUUGGUCAAUGAGUUUAGCAUUUCUUGAGUUCGUUUAUCCAGAAUCCGGUCACUCAAUUUAUCAGGCUUCCUGUGAGAAAGGUUUCGCCAAUGCAGUUUCUAACAAGUCUGCAUGCAGACAAGAUUGAUGAAAAUCUAUGUAAGUUUUCUUGCUUAUAGGUGAACCCACUGCUAUUUCUUGAGAAUGAAUCAACCAAGAAACAAUUAGAAGUUAAAAGCAACAAAGCAACCAAUUCGAAUCGCUAGAACAACUUCCGUGCACACCCUUCUUGUAGUAGUAACAGGCCCUUCAAACUUGGCAACCAGAUUUCUUCAAUGUGCAAAACGAAGUCACUGCCUUUACCACGCUAAGACUUGAGGGAAAGAUCUUCACAGGUCUACCAAUUCUGACUCCAGGAGUCAGAGUAGGCCAACUGCUGCUUGAGACUAUUCCUAACCACCAUUUAAGCAAUGAAAAAUCAGAAACUUUUGCCCAAUUCAAGAUUAAGAGGUACUCUACUGAGCUCUCACAAUUAGGAUUUCAGCUCCACUAUUUGCUAGAAUCAUUCGAUGGUAUCGGAAAAAGUUUCACCUAAUAAGUAGCAAACUUGAAGAACAGGGCAUGACUGACUUCCAUUCAUUUUUGUAUCAGCUACAAUAAAAUAAGUCUGGCUCCCUUGGACCACUCCUAUAUACCAGACAAAACUAGGAAAAUGUCAAGAAUGAAGCUUGCUUUCAUUGCUUAUUUCGCCGGCUGUUAUGGCGAUGGGUGCUUGGGACUUGCCAGUCACAUUCAUCUUCGGCGAUUUCUUAAGGGAAGUUGGAAACAAUGAUCGCUCUCAGUACUCUCUGGCAAAGUCUGAACUAAUCCGUGGUACAGCAUAGAUUAUGAAGGUUGACAGGCAGAUGGGAGUUUCACAAAUGGGAGGACCAUUGGUGACAACUUGUGUAAUUUCACAGAUCUCGUGUCUUGUUCUCGGUUUGUUUUUCGUACUUAAAUUUAGAGAAACUGCUUCAUGCAUACAGUAUCAGUAUCAGCAAUUUCCUAGAAUUUAUUCUGUCAUAAUUCACAGUGGCAGCUGCAAAGCUUGGAAUUUCUUUGCCGCUGCCGUAUUCGUCAUUGUAACCGAACAAUGACACAAUCCUUCAAGGGGUCAGUUAGGCAUCUGGUGAAGCAGGAAUUCUCGACGAGACUGGGUUCUAUUUUGUAAUGAACAUCUUCUAACAAUAAAUACUUUUUUUCUACUCGAGAUCACUUCUGUUCUUCACUUAGUAUCAGUUCUUGUAACUUUCUUUUGCCACGGCGGCUUUCUUUUGUAGAUCCAGAGGCUAUCAUUCGUUGAUCAGAUCAACUACUUCAACAAGACCAAAGAAGCAAUCGACGCUAAAAUUGGAGAGGAAGCUGCAAACAAGUUCUGCAAUAAAGCCCUCUUAUUUAUUGGCCUUGGGAUUGAUAAUUCUCACUACUCGGCACCUCAGCGAUAAAGACGUAGGAUGGUGGCCAGUGAUAAACGUUAUUUAAUUGCAUUUUAAACCUCCAAAAUGAUGGUGGUUAACUUAGAAGAUACUUGUUACCAAAGCAACGAAAUGACAUGAAUAGAAUUGAAUUCAGCCCCAUCUGACUCUGUUUCCUUAAAACACAGUAUCUUAGUCAGAUUUUGUGGUGCAUUUAGGGACAAAAUCUAGCAUUUACUAAACAUCCUUUUGGGAAAAUGUGCAUUUGCACCCAUAUAUUCAACUCUCAAAUUCCUGACUGGAUGUUGGCAUGGCUUGCUACGUCGGACCUCUUGGGCUUGAAGCGGUAUGCUAUUGAUUUUUGGGAUAAUGACAGUAAAGUGUUCCUUAGAACUUUACAUUGAUUGUUCGAUUUGGUAUCCACAAUUUAAUUUCGAGAUUCUAAUUAUCAUAUAAUCUGGUUUUUGCGAGUCCUUGAGUUGCAUGGUUAGGCAAUUCGGUAAGCAAAAUCAUAUAUGAAAUGACUAUGACAUAGCUACAGCCUUAGUGGGAGAUUUGAUAACAAUUGAGAGAGAGAGAGAGAGAGAGAGAGAGAGAGGAACUAGGAAAGUGAAUUUCAUCAUCAAGCGGCAAGAGGUAAAGAAGCAUACAGAGAAUUCUAUGAGUUCAGUAAAAUAGCAUUCGCCUCUGUUCUAGAUUCAUUGAUAUAUAUGAUUUGCAACUCAUUUACUUGAUUGUUCAGAUAAAAGAAAUGUAAGUGACGAGAUAUUUUUUAGACUAACCCAAUCAAAGUACUCGUUAGUCGUUGAAAUGAAUCGAAUAUGAUGUAACUACUCAGGUAUUUUUUAUCUGAAUCAUACAUCCUAAGUCUCAUAAUCAAGUGAUAAACUUUUGAGCUGAAUUUAAGAGUUAAAACUAAGAGGAGCAAAUUACAAUUUUGUAGUUCAUGGAUAAGAGAUGCUAAUAAAUACUAUGAAAAUGUACUAAGUUUCAUUCAAUAAAUGAUGUGACAAGUGACUAUUGAUAACCAAAAUGAACCAUAGGAGCACACGCUUUAAGUAACUAAACAAAACACAUUAUAUGUGAAGAUGAUUUUCAAUGAACCAGGCACCAUUCCUCCAGCACCACUCUUCUAAGGUAUUGCAACCACCAAAAAUAUGGUAAAUGAGUUCACCUUAUCUGUCACAUACAAUUCUCCCUCUAUAGAAUGCUAUACAGUGAGAGAAAAACGCAACGAAAAAGAAGUAACAAUGACGAGGCCGACUAGCAGUAUAAGAAUCAGAUCACGAGCUGCACCAGGAUUCUGCAGAAUCCUGUUCCUAGCAAAAGAAUGAGUAAAUAAGUGCCAUAAAAAUAAAAAGGUAAGAUCCAAUGAAGAACAUGCCCCGGAAAACGAAGUCCAGAGAAGAGGAAUGUGUGAAGUGUUACGUUGGGUUAUUUGUUUCUUUCUCAAGACGCAACUUCCCUGAUUUAUCUCUGUUCAUGAGCUUCUUGACGACUUUAUCCCAAUUGGUCCUCGCAUCGCAAGGCCUGGCUUUGUCAUCCAGGACGACGUCGGAAGACUUUUCUUCCUGUGAAGGCUGCGGCUCUUCAUCUUGAGGAUUUGAAUCCGGGUUUUCCUCAUCUUGAGAGGUCACAGCAUGGGGAAUGUUUAAGCUCACUGCUCUUUCCAGUGCAUCUUUGUGCUCCUUCUCUAUUGACCUCAACCUCUCGAACUUUUGUAUGUUUGGAGCAGUUGUUACGGUCUCAGCACUGCUUUCCCUCAUUAUCUGUCAGUCAAUUUGAGUUGAUCUAUCAUCUCAACAUGCUACAUAAUUACGUACACUCAUUGAACAAUCAAUGAGAAACAUAUAUAUAUAUAUAUAUAUAUAUAUAUAUAUAUAUAUAUAUAGAUUCAGGGUAAUUUAAGAAUUGCAGUGAACCAAAGGAAUACCAAGUCAGCCUCACUUACUUGCAAAGCCUUUUCUGCUUCUCUUUCUAUCCAGAUAAUUUCAUGAUCAGAUCCGGCAUUACAAGAUAAGAUGAUAUGCUCGAAUCUCCCAUCAACCGGAAUAGCAGUUCUUACUUUUGGAGGAUACCUCCCACAUCUGCACAUACAGAAGAGUGAAAAGCUUGGGUAAGACAUUUGAGUAUAAGUUUUGCUUCUUAAAAACAGAACCAUUUUUCCAUUCCAUUAUUCUUUUUUUUUUCUCCUAAGACUGCUAAAAAGAUAAAUAAAUAAAUAAAUAAGAACUACUCUCACUUUCCACAAACAAAAUGAGAGGAAGUCAAUCAAAUUCCUGCGUAGUUCACUAAAAAAAAAAAAAAAAUCAAAUUCCUGCAAUAAAAGAAUUGCUUUAAAAAAAAAGAAAAAAAAGACACCUAAUGACAAUAAAAAAAAAGAAAGCAAUGACAUACUUUGAAUUUGUUUGAGAUGCAAAGUGAAAAAAUGGUUUUUAAAUCUCCAGGUAUGUAAUGGAUUACAAAUCAAUACUUCAGCUCCUUAAAUGCUUAGAUUUACAGACAAGAUGAUACUGCCAUCUCUUAAUUGGUUGUCUAGCCCGCAGCAGCAGUUAAAAGAUAAUAUUUGCACAGACAAGCUGGGAAACAUAUUAAAAUUGAGAAAAAGAAAUUAAUAACUUGCACCACGAAAUAGACAUAAUUACAGAUCCGAUACCCCCAUAUUUCCCUAAUCAUUCCUCACAUUGUGAGACAAACAUGUUUACUUUUUGGUUGUCAGUGUAACGAUCAGCAACACAUUUACUAAGUUGAAGACAUCCAUAGAUAAGAGAAAUACAGAUAGAGCCAUAUAUAAGGUUCUUGGGUAUAAAGAUAUUCCCUUAGUUUCCAAUGAUUAUAAAGGUCAUUGCUAAGCAUUUCGUAGUUUACGAUACAGCAUCAAAUGUUAAUUAUAACAUUCUCUAACAGCUGCAUAACUUCUUUUUUUAAUUAGAUUAUCCAAAGUGGUAGUUGCUCCACAAACUGUAGAAUGCAAAGUGUGAUCCAUUAAAACAAGGAUACAAAGUGUGAUAAUCCUACACCAUGGGGUGCAGAUCUUAAUUUCCCGAAAUGUUUCCAAGCAAAGAGAUGCUGGUUAAAAAAAGCAGCCCUUCACUGCAUAAAUUCUCUGAGUCCCUUAUUCAGCUUACUUUUGAGACCAAAAGCAUGCUAAGACAUUUCUGCACCAGUCUAGCUAAAAAAUCUCCAAAAGUUUUCUUAUAAUGUAAUAUAUUACAGCUUAUAAUGUCCCUACUGUGUUCAUACCUGCAAAAUUUUCUUUCAACAAUAUGAUACAUUCUUCCAGGUGCAUAAAGUCUCCUUGGGUCUCUGAGCUUCCUACCCUCAGGUAUAAAGGUUUCCCUCAGGCAGACCGAUAACAGUAAGCAUGGCAAGCUGUCCAAAGCACCAAGGCCUGGAUUAAGAAAUGAUGAUGACAACUCGUUCCAAGAGGUCUUUAGGAGCACACAAAAGGAAAGAAAGUUGAGCCAUAAUAUAAAACGUAAUGCAACUCACCAGAAAAUUGACUUGAAAAUAUCCUCCAAGGGGGUAGAAGUUCGUGGUAAAAAAUCAUCCUGGACAAAAAAGAUGAUAACAGGAUCAUUUACCCAAAAAGAAGCUCAGUAACUACAGGAGACCAUUGCCUUUCUUCAAAUGCCUAUAGAGGAAAAGCACAUUAACUGGCUUUGACAUUCCUCUGAUUUUAAAGGUCCCCUUCCUGUGUCAAUUCCUUAAGGUAAAGCUGAAUCCCACAUCGUACUACUUAGGAUGCGAUAGAAUAUUUGUAGGUGGUCUAUAGGAAAUUCUUGAGAAUUGAAAUCAACAACCUACUCGUGCCUAAAAAAACCAGACUGUUUACCUACCACCUAUGUAGUUGGGUUCGGGGAUGACCAGAGCCACUAGACAACAAAAAAACAUAUCACUUUAUUAGCUCCUGAGUUUUCUCAAGGGACUCAUCGCCGCGUUCUAGUUUAGGCUGAAAAUACCACUGAGAUGCCAGAAAAACCACCUAGGCCCUCAAUUCACAAAUAUAUAAACAAGAGCUUUUUCAUUUACAAAUCCUAAUGUUAUUACCAUUUCUCAUGAUACCCAAAGUUAGAGUUGGACCACCAGAAACAGAAUCCUCAAAUAGAAGAGUGAACAACAACAGAACUCCAGAAUGAAUUGGCUAAAGACAUAACAGCAAGAACCACCUAAAGUCAACAGCCGAACUGAGUCAGAGCUUUUGACUACCAAAAAAAAAAAAAUGAGUCAGAGCUACGCCGCUAAGUGAAGUUAAGUUUCCAACAGUUCAAGAAACAUUAGCUUAUUGCACAGUCAACCGAAAACCAAAGCCUUUAGUAGUUUGAACCAUCCAAUUACCUGCAAGAUUAUAGAGUGAAUCACGUCAGCAUACUUCACCGCCAGAUUAAGCGACAUACACCUCGCCGGAGCCACCGCGUAACACCGCACUUUACUCCGCGGAACUCCGCCCAUUUGAUCCCCAUGGUUCACCACGAUCACCGCCAAGAGCGAAGCCACGCCGGACCCGAGCGAGUGGCCCGCAAAAACAAGGUCAUAAUUUGACCCGUUCUCGACCCACAGCCUCUUCAACGUCUCCGAUUCCUCAUUUAACAGCCAAAUCGCCGACUUCAACAGCCCGCGGUGGACGUAACCCCCGUCAAACAUCUGCAUGCCAAGCCGAUUGUCCAGCAGGAGCUUGUAGUCGCUCUCCUUGGUGAGGUUGAGGCCGCGGAUUGCGACGACAAUCUCGCGGUAGUCAUGGUCGACGUAGAUGAUGUAGGGCGGGGCGUGGCCGAGGGUCUGCUCGUGGGUGACGCACUUGACAACCCAGUCCGAGUUGAGGCGGUAUCUGCUGGCGGGGAGGUACUUGGGGUGGCGGAGAUCGAGCUCGUAGACGGCGAGGAUGAGGCGGCAGAUGCGGGGGACGAGCUCGAACUCAUCGGGGGUGGCGGGGGGCCACGUGGCGCUGUCAUCGGAGCCGACGGAGGUACAGCGCUUCCAGACCCACCGGAAGCAGCCCAGGAUCGGCACGCACUCCACGCCGCAGGAUACCGACAUGGCAGGUCCAGGAUAUUCCUGGUUUGUUGAUUUCUUUCAGUUGCUGUGAUUGAAGAAGAAGAAGAUGGUGUCGUUGUCUGCGAGUUUUGACGUCAGGGUAACGAGGGAUGAAGGUGGCGGUCGCUGUGGGCAUCGAAGAAAUGAAUAGAUGCAUCUCUUCAUGUUCAAGUGAAGUGGCAAUAGGGGUGAGCGGUUCCAAGUUCCAGUUCGGUUCCGUCUGGACCUGGAAUUUACCCUCGGGUACAGGUUCCUCAUUUUUUGGAACCUGGAACCUACCCGUCAGAACCAAGAAUUGGAACCUACCCUGUCACAAGUUCCAGGGUCCGUUCUAGGUUUCAACAGGUUCUUUUUUUUUUUUUUUUAUGUUUUUUCAUUUUUUUUCUCAUUUUCAAAUUUGAACUAUAACUAUGCGCAUAUUCUACAGUAACUUGCUACAUCUUAGCAAACAAACAUACCAUUGCCAAAAAUCUGGACAUACAUAAUCAAAACCAAUAAGAAGUUUCAAGAGAGGAAAGGAGAUGCUUGAUUAACUAUAUGUCAAUAUAUGUGCACUAAAGCUUGGAUUGACUAUACAUCUGUGAAAGACAAACGAAGGAACUGAAUUUCUUGGUGAUCUCCAUUUUAAAAGGAGCUCACAUUCCAAUCCCCCCAGCAAUUUUUCUGGAAUUUGAUGUGUCGAGUUUCCGAUUGACAAAGGGAAUUUCUGACCCAUUUUUGAAUUUGACAAAUCAAAGCUCAAGAAUCGACACCGCAAUUAAAUCAGAGAUAAGAUCAAGAAAUACCAGGGUGUGUCAAAGUCUUGCGACUGCCGCCGGCCGAACAAACCAUGCGAACAAUGAAGGAUGCGAUCGGGGGAUUAUCUCUUGUCACGGCCGAGAUCUCUGGGUACAAUUUAACAUACAAAAUCCGGUUCUUCUCCAGGGACAGAUGCCUUCGAUCCCCAAGAGAACAAAAGUCAGAACUCUAUCGUCUUUCUUUUUUCAGUACCAUAUGAAUAAGUACAAUAUCUACCCUAGCAACAGAGACGGAGUACAGUAGCAGAGCAGAGCAUGAAGGACAACGCAGAGCUCAUUCAUUUCUCCCUGUUCUUCACCCCAAAAAUCUUCUCCCCCUCAAAAGGAAAAUCGUCACUUUCACACAAAGACUAACCCAAUUAUCUCUAUGGGUCAAGGAUAAUCAAAUCAUCACUCACCCAUAAUCUGAAACAAUCAGAAUCGACCCUGUGCAAGACAAGAAACAGAAUGUCCUCUAGAUAGAGAGAGAAACAAGAACAAAACAGAGAUAUCAAGAAAGUGAAGCUCGGGGUCAAUCCGACUCACCAAUUCCAGAGACCGAUCUUGAAAGGAUCGGACUUGCGGUAGGUGCAGGAAGCGAGGUGCUUCAGGGGAGGCUUGGCGAGUGGCGUCGGGGGUGACUGGGUGAGCGGCGUCGAGUUGCCCUGAGCGUGCGGCUGGGCGAGCAGCUUCGGGGGAGGCUCGGCCAAGGGCGUCGGGACUCGGGGGUGAGUGGGUGAGCGGCGUCGAGUGUUAGGGCGUCCGGCGGAACCGAACCGGAACCGGGAAUCGACGUAUCCUCCUCAGGCUUCGCGAUAAACGAGUCCAGCGACUGGCGUCGAGCGGCGGCGCCGUGGCCUGCGGCGUCCGGCGGCGGCGUCGGCGACGGGCAGAGGCAGAGCACGGGAGAGACUCAGAGAUUCGGGCAGCGACUGGCGUCGAGCGGCGAGGGUUCGGGCGAGCGGCGUCGGCGACUGGCGUCCAGCGGCGUCCGGCGGCGGCGGCCUCGAGGGCGAGCGGCGGCCGGCGGCGAGACUCAGAGCGGCGUCCGGCGGCGUGACUGAGUGAGGUCUGAAUGAAGAGUCGAUUGCCCUCGCACCCGGACUAGAUCAGUGUAUUUAAAUAUAUAUUAAAAAAAAAAGAAAUUACAACUCAAUUACUUAAUUAUUUUAUAAUUUUUUAACAUUUAUAUGUAUAUGUGUGUAUAUUUUUAGUAUUGGACAUUAUUAACUAAUUUUAUCUCUCAAAUGUGUAAUAGGAUUAAUCUCUUAUUUUUUGUUCAUUCUAAUAAUCUAUGAGGUAAGUUCACUGGAAGUCUUAAAAUUUGUUAUAUAAGUAUAAUUAAGUUCUAAAAUUUUCAAAAAAUAUAAUUAAGUCCUAAAAUCUAUUAAGAAAGUGUAAUUGAACUCUAAAAUUUUCAAAACCACCCGUGGUGGCGGCGUAGGUUUCUUUCGGAAGAGAUCCUGAGUUCGAAUCGUUACGUCUUGUGCCUUUGAGAAAGGAACCCACGACUUACCGGGGUAACAAGGGUGGUGGUGACUCUACCACCCCUCCAGGGUUUACUCCACCGCGAAGCAGCACACAGAGGUUCCCUAGGUACAAAAAAAAAAAAAAACUCUAAAAUUUUCAAAAUACAAGUCAUAAAACUUGUCAUGAAGUGCAAACGAGUUCUAGAAUUUUCAAAAUUUGCUAUCAAUGGAAGGACUUGAUUUAAUCAAUUUGAUAAGUUUUAAAACUUGAUUGCACUUUUUAAAAAAUUUAAAAUUCAAUUGCACUUUCAUAACAAAUUUGGGACUUUAUUGCACAUUUUGAAAGUCUUAAGACUAAGUUACACUUUGUUGAUGAGUUUUAUAACUUCCAAUGCACUUAUCUCAUAAUCCAUUUACUUACUUUCUUCAUUAAAAAAAAAAAAAAAAGAUGAGGAGACCGAUUGGAGAAUGUUGCAGCGCUUUAUUAUCAUGAUACGAAAUUAAGAGGCAAUAGCUUGUUUUAAGAGCAUAAUUAAGGUCUCUCAAUUGUCAUCUCGUGAUUAAAUUAGGUUGACAUUGAAAAAAAAUGGAUCAAAUUAUUAAAGGCUUUCGUGAAGGUUAGGAAUUUUAUAUAAAGACUAAAAUGCUAAGAGGACUACCUCAUGACCUUCAGAGAAAUUAAAUUUCUAGUUAAUGAGUAUUAUCCAUUUUUUUCGCCCUAUAGUUUUAAUCCUUAAUCAAAAUCAACUGCUUGCAAUUCAACUAGAAUUUAAGACCAAGCAAGCUUUUGUUCUGCGUAGAAAUUAGGUUCAUCACGAUAUUAAUUGAUGAAUGCAAUUUUGUAAGAAUUAGAAAUCGGUUCCAUGGAUCCGAAUCAACAGUCUGGUUCUCGAAUUAGUCUGGUUCCCAAAUGAAUUUUUGGAAUCAACGAGCAGUUUCGAUUUCAGUUUUUCAAAACCAGUCAUUAGUGGGCAAUAAAGGCGAGUAUGGUUUCUAGGUAGAACCUAAAACAUAAAUAUCGAACCGAUGAGAACCUAUAGGUUCCGAAUUCUAAGAUAUACAAAGUAGGUUUUAGAGGUUCGACGAAUGGGUUAUAAAUUCUUAGUUGAAGGAACUUAGAAUCUGAAACCUAGAACUUGGAACAAAUUUUAUUGUUUUUCUUGCUCUAUGUCUUGGCGCAAUUUUGCGAUAUUCCAUACAUUUUGAUGAUGAGUGUAUAAUCAGAAAGUACUAAUUUAAGUUUCCAUUUUAUAACUGGAACUUUUAUUUUAUUAAUAUUCAUAUUUUUCGUGUGUUUAAAUAUAAAUGAUAAUCAGCAAAUUGUAGCAGCAUGUUGUCGUCAUCAAAGGUUUUAAGGUUUUACUUCACUAUAAUCGUUCAAUUAAUAAUACAUGUGAAAUCUGGAUAUACCUUAGAACCGACACUAAAGUUUUAGGUUCUGAGAUAUAUAAGGUAAGUUCUUGGUUUUAGAAUAUGAGGGUAAGUUUCAGAUCUUUUCCAAUGGAUAUGUUCAAAGUUUUAGGUAAAACCUAUACAAACUUGAAACCACUCACCUUUAGUGGACGGCUCAUGAUUCCAAGAUGGAAAUCGCUCAUUCAAACCAUUUAUCCCUAAAGGUAUUUGCUUCUUUUUAUUUUAUUUUAUUUUUUAUUUUUUUCACUCUGUGUUCUUUGCUUUACUCAGUGCGGCAAUGGUUGGCCCGGUGGGCUUCUUCUUCUCGAGUCAGCAACGAUGCUAGAAAGAGAAACUUUUAAAGAGGGAAGAUCAAGAUUUUCCAUUACCGCUAAGAUAAUACAAAAAAAUAGAAGGCAUAUAUAGAUCUCCCUUAUUCUAUCUACUGUCUACCAACUACUCAUUAAUUACAGAAAAUUCUAGCUGAGUACACAUUUUCUUUAUUAGCCCCAGAAAUAUUCUCGAGUGCACAAGCAAGGUUAACCAGGUCUUCUUGUCUCCGUCCUUCUCGCGUUGAAAAUCUCUAGACCGUGAUGAGUUCCUUGUCUCAUGUCUUUCCAGUGUUUUCUGAGUGAUGUGUUUAAUGAUGCAAAAGUUGGUCGCUUGAUUGACUGUAAUGUAACGGGGUGUAAAAGUGGACAAACAAGAUGUUAGCCAUUUGUGUUUGACGCGUAAGACGUGAUUAUGUCGUGUUCUUCCUUUUCUUUCUUUGUCGUAAUCAGCAAGAUAGAUCGAUGAGAAUACCGAUCGGAAAGAGUGAUCAUUGGGAAGCACGACGGUGGCUGCCAGUGUCGCCACUGCUGUUGUGGCCGCCCCACCCCUACUGCAGCUCCUUGUAUACUCAAACACUAAGAUCGCUUAUAUUGAGCUUCCUUCAAGUUCUAUUUGUUUCAUGAAAAAUAACUUUUAAAAAAACAUUUUCUUGAAUUUUCCGAUAUUCGUUUUACAGAAAAUGAAUGAAUCAAGGAAAAUGUUUUCUACUAUUAAAAAAACUCCUUCAAAAGUAGGAAAAAUAUUUUUCAUUUUUUAGAAAUGGAAACUAUUUUCCAUAACUUCUUCGACCUGCCAUUCUUUCACCAAACACAUUUUCCUUUUAUUUUUAUACUUUUUUUUUCUUUUUUAAAAUCGAAUUUUUAAUCUUUUUUUUUCCCUCUUCCUUGGCUAAUCACCGGCCAUGGCAGUGGUUGACAACUGCCCACAGGCAAGCUCGAGCCUCACCCAAGGUCAAAUUCGUUGAGAGCAAAGCUCGAGCUUGCCUAGAUAUAGCUUGCGUCGGCUUCAGUGGAGCUCGAGUUUGCUUGGUUCAGCGAAGCUUGGACUCACCUACUGCCUUAGCGGAGCCCAAGCUCGCCAUCCUUAGAAGAGCUCCACCUUGCUUGGUUCAGCGGAGCUCGGAUUCACCUAGAUCGGGCAAGCUGUAAGCUCGUCAGGCUCAGUGAAGCUUAACCUAACCUAGAUCGACCAAGCCUUGAGCUCGCCAAUUCGCAUCUUGGUCGAUUGCCUAGCAAAUUGAAAUUUGAUUUUUUAAAAAUAUAAUAUAAUUAAAAAUUGAUUUUUUAAAAAUAUAUAAAUUAAAAAUUAUUUUUUGUAUUAAAAAAUUAAAAUUCGAUUUUUUUGGUAAUUUUUCUUAGAAAAUCAAAUCAGAUACCAAAUGAUUGGAAAACAUUUUCCACUUCAUUUUCAGGUUUCGGUCAAACAUAAAAAAAUAUCGUCAUUUUCUUGAAAAAUGACUUCUUAGAAAACAUUUUCUGGAAAUUUGAUAUUUUCUGCGAAAUAAACUGAGUCAAAAGUCUUUCCUAUCUCAGUUUGAACGUCUACAUUUGGUAAGGCGGAUGAAAUAGAAUUGAUUUUGGGGAUAAUAACAGUAGAGUGUUCUUUUCGAACGUUGUAUUAAUUGUUCAAUUUGGUACCUACUAUUUAAUUUCAAGAUGUUAAUUACCACAUAAUAUGGUUUUUGCAACUCUUCAAGAGGGAUGGUUAAGCAAUGUGAUAUGCAAAAUCUUUGUAAAAAUGGCUAUGACGUAGCUGCUACCUUAGCGAGAGAUUUGACAACGGUCGAGAGAGAAGAAUGAGGAAAGUAAAUUUCGUGAUCAAGCGUUAAGAGGUAAAGAACAUAUACAAGACUCACAAUUUUUGACAGUUCAGCAAAACAGCAUUCACCUCCAUUCUAAGUUUUUUAACGUAGUUGAUUUGCAACUGAUUUACUUGAUUGAUUAAAUGAAAGGCAUGUAAGUGGCGUCAUAAUUCUUGAGAUUAACCCAACCAAAGUACUCCAUAGUCGCUGCUCGGACGGAAUCGAAUAUGGUGUAACCAAUCAGGUUUACCUUAUCUGAAUUAUACAUCAUAAGUGUCAUAAUGGAGUGAUAAACUUUUGAGCUGAAUUUAAAGAGUUAAAACUAAGGGGAGAAAAUUACAAUUUUGCAGGGACGAGAAAUGCUAAUAUAUACUAAGAAAGCACUAAGUUUUAUUCAAUAAACGGCGUGAAAAGUGAUUAUUGAUGACUUAAAUGAACCACUGGAGCUCACGCUUUAAGUAACUAAACAAAACACAUCAUAUGUGAAAAUGAUUUUCAAUGAUGAACCAGGCACCAUUCCUCCAGCACCACUCCUCUAAGGUAUUGCAACCACCUAAAAUAUGGUAAAUGAGUUCACCUUAUCUGUCACAGACAAUGCACCCUAUAUAGAAUGCUAUACAGUGAGAAAAAACGCGAUGAAAAAGAAGUAACAAUGAUGGGGCCGAAUAGCAGUAUAAGAAUCAGAUCACGAGCUGCACCAGAAUCCUGUUCCCAGCAAAAGAAUCAGUAAAUACACACCAUAAAAAGGAUAGAUCCAAUGAAGAACAUGCCCCAGAAAAUGAAGUCCGAAGAAGAGGAAUGCGCGCAGCUUGGGUUAUUUGUUUCUCUCUCAAGACAUAGCUUCCCUGAUCUAUCUCUGUUCAUGAGCUUCUUGAUGACUUCAUCCCGAUUGGUCCUCGCAUUGCGAGGCCUGGCUUUGUCAUCCAGAACGAUGUCAGCAGACUUUUCUUCCUGUGAAGGCUGUGACUCUUCGUCUUGGGGAUUUGAAUCUGGGUUUUCCUCAUCCAGAGACAUCGCGGCAUGGGGAAUGUCUAAGCUUACUGCUCUUUCCACUGCAUCUUUGUGUUCCUUCUCUAGCGUCCUCAACCUAUCGAACUUUUGUAUGUUUGGAGCAGUGGUUACAGUCUCGGCACUCCUUUCCCUUAUUCUCUGUCACGGUCAAUUUGAGUUCAUCUAUCAUCUCAACAUGCUACCUAUUUACAUACACUCAUUUAAGAAUCAAAGAGCAACNNNNNNNNNNNNNNNNNNNNNNNNNNNNNNNNNNNNNNNNNNNNNNNNNNNNNNNNNNNNNNNNNNNNNNNNNNNNNNNNNNNNNNNNNNNNNNNNNNNNUGCUACCUAUUUACAUACACUCAUUUAAGAAUCAAAGAGCAACAAAAAUUGAUAGGUUCAGGGUAAAUUAGGAAUCGGUGUGAACCAAAGAAAUACCAAGUCAGCCUUACUUGCAAAGCCUUCUCUGCUUCUCUUUCUAUCCAGAUAAUUGCAUGAUCAGAUGUGGCAUUACAAGAUAAGACGAUAUGCUCAAAUCUCCCAUCAACCGGAAUAGCAGUUCUUACUUCCGGAGGAUACCUCCCGCACCUGCACAUACAGAGAAGUGAAAGACGUGGAUUUGACAUUCAAGUAUAAGUUUUGCUUCUAUAAAAAGACAAACAGAACCAUUUUACCAUUCCAUUAUUCUUCUUUUUCUCCUAGUACUGCUAAAAAGAUAAAUAAAAAAAAAAAAAAAACUACUUCCACGUUUCACAAUCAAAAUGAGAGGAAGUCAAUCAAUUCCUGCAAUACAACAAUUGCUUAGUGAAAAAGUAAAAGAAAAGCAAUCAUUAAGAUUGCAAAAAGAUACGGAAAUAUAAUGAAAACACCUAAAGACAAUCAAACAAAUUCAAUUCAUUUGAGAUGCAAGGUGAAAAAAUGGUUUUUCAAACUCCAUGUACGUAACAGCUUCCUAAAUGCUCAGAAUUUACAGACAAGAUGAUACUGUCGUUUCUUCCUUGGAGGUCUAGCCCAGCGGCAGCAGUUAAAAGAGAAUAUUUGCACAAACAAGCUAGGAAAAAUAUUAAAAUUUAAAAAAAAAAAUUAACAAUUUGCACCCCGUAAUAUAAACAUAAUUACAGAUCCCAUUCCCUGGUAUUUCCCUAAUCACUCUUUACAUCCUGAGACUAACGUCUUUGCUUUUGCUGGUUAGUGUAACAACUAGCAACAUAUUUACAGAGUUGAAGAUAUCAAUAGACAAGAGAAAAACAGAUGAAGCCAUACACAGAGCGUGAAUGAGAGUGCUAACAAUCUCAUAGUAACAGGACCUUGGAUACAAGUACAUUCCUUGGUUUCCGACGGUUACAAUGUCAUUCCAGAGUAUUUUCUAGUUUAAAGUAACAGCAACCAAAGUUAAUUAUAAUAUUCUCUAACAGCUGCAUAAUGUUUUUUAAUUAGAUAAUCCAAAGUUGUAGUUGAUGCACAAACUGUAGAAUGUGAAGUCCGAUUCUUGAAAACAUGGAUACAGAGUGUGAUUAUCCUACACUAAAGGAUGCAGGAAACAAUUUGAAGCAAAAAGAUGCUGAUUAAAAAAGCCCUUAACUAAUAAAUUAUCUUAGUCCCUUAUUCAGUUUAGUUUUGAGACCAAAAGCAUGCUAAGAUCUUUCUACUAAGUCUAGCUCAAAAUCUAAUAAUGCAAUAUAUUAAACCUUACAAUGUCCAUACUGAGUUCAUAGCUGCAGAAUAUUCUUUCAACAAGCAUGCUAAGAUCUUUCUACACCAAGUCUAGCUCAAAAUCUAAUAAUGCAAUAUAUUAAAUUUUACAGUGUCCCUACUGUGUUGAUACCUGCAGAAUUUUCUUUCUACAAUAUGAUACAUUCUUCCAGGUGCAUAAAGUCUCCUCGGGUCUCUGAGCUUCCUACCCUCAGGUAUAAAAGUGUCCCUCAGGCAGACCCAAUGCAGUAAGCAUGGCAAGCUGUCCAAAGCACCAAAGCGUCGAUUAAGAAAUGACGAUGACAACUCACUCCAAGAGGUCUUUAGGAACACACAAAAAGAAAGAAAGAGAGAUGAGCCAUGACAUAAAUUGUAAUGCAACUCACCAGAAAAUUGACGUGAAAAUAUCCUCCAAGGGAGUAGGAGUUCUUGGUAAAAAAUCAUCCUGGACAAACAAGAUGACAGCAGGGUCACUUUGCCGAAAAAGAAACCUUGGUAACUACAGGAGACCAUUGCCUUUCUUCAAACGCCUACAGAGGAAAAGCAGAUGCAGUUGCUUAAUGACAUUCCCCCGAUCUCCUUCCUAUGUCAAUUCCUUUAGGUAAACCCAAAUCCCAACAUCGUACUACUCAGGAUGCGAUAGAAUAUUGGCAGAUGGUCAUUAGGAAAUUUUUGAGAAUUGAGAUCAACAUCUUCCUAGUAUCUAAAAAAAGAACGAACUGUUUACCUACUGCCUAUUUAGUCGGGAUCAAGAUGAGCCAACAUACAACAAACAAACACAUCACUCUUAUAGCUCCUGGGUUUUCUCAAGGGAUUCAUCACAGUGUUCUAGUUUAGGCUGAAAUAUGCCAGUGGGUUGCCAGAAAAAUUGCCUAGGCACAACUUAGGCACAAUAACGUCUAUUCACGAAGAUAUAUACAUGUCCUUUUAACCUACAAAGCCUAAUUUGACUACCAUUUCUCAUGGUACAGAAAGUUAAGAGUUGGACCACCAGAAACUGCAUCCUCAAAUAAAAGAGUGAACAACAACAGAACCCCAGAAUGAAUUGGCUGAAGACAUAACAGCAACAAUCACCUAAAGUCAACAGCCGAACUGAGUCAGAGCUUUUGACCCCCAGAAAAAAAAGAAAAAAAAAGAAAAAGAACUGAGUCAGAGCUACACCGCUAAGUGAAGUGAAGUUUUCAACUGUUCAAGAAACAUUGACUUGCUGCACAGUCAACCAAAAACCAAAGCUAAGAAUUAGAUAUUUGACCAAUCCAAGUACCUGCAAGAUUAUGGAGUGAAUCACGUCAGCAUACUUCACCGCCAAGUUAAGCGACAUACACCUUGCUGGAGCCACUGCGUAACACCGCACUUUACUCCGCGGAACUCCGCCCAGCUGAUCCCCAUAGUUCGCCACGAUCACUGCCAAGAGCGAAGCCACACCAGACCCAAGCGAGUGGCCCGCAAAAACUAUGUUGUAGUUCGACCCAUUCUCGACCCAAAGCCUCUUCAACGUCUCUGAUUCCUCAUUCAACAGCCAAGUCGCCGAUUUCAACAGCCCGUGGUGGACGUAACCCCCGUCGAACAUCUGCAUGCCGAGCCGAUUGUCCAGCAGGAGCUUGUAGUCGCUCUCCUUGGCGAGGUUGAGGCCGCGGAUCGCGAGGACAAUCUCGUAGUGGUCAUGGUCUACGUAAAUGAUGUAGGGUGGGGCAUGGCCGAGGGUCCGCUCGUAGGUGACGCGCUUGAUGAGCCAGUCGGGGUUGAGGCUGUUGGAGAAAUCUUUCUAGAAUAUUUUGAAGCUAACAAAACGUUUCUAUCAGUCUAAUCUGAAGUUUUGUAGACUAUUUUAUUAAAGUCUGAAGACCUCCGGACUACCAGACUCAAGACUCAAAGUCUAUUCUCAUUGACAGUUUCUAAUCCGUUGAAGAAAGGCUAUCCAGAACUGCUUUAUUAAGGAUUUGGCCUUAUCGACUGGAGAAGAUCUCUUGGCCGGAUAUAACAUAACGGAUUCCUUUAUUCAAAUCAGGAAUGAUUAAAGAUCCGAUGAUUGGCGAAUUAUUCUUGGAAGGUUCUACUUAUAGAAACCAAGAUCCUAAUUGUAUGGGCGAGCAGGAUUGAUGGGCUAUCGACAUGUUCCUUUAAUAGCUCGAAUGAUUUUCCUAAUUGAUUCUGUCCAACGGGAGGAUUGGAAGAAUUCCUUUGGUAAGUGCCAACGGGUAUGAUGGCACAAAGGAGUAUAAAAGGAAGACGUUCCAGUUGUUCGAGUGUGUGCACGAUAGAAGAAUUCCAAAGUCUGAAACUCUUUGAUUCUUAGUCAAUUCACUUACUGAGCGAAAUCUUGUACACAAAAGAGAGUCUAUAUUUUGAGAUACCUUGAGGAAGUGUGGUAGAAUAUCUACACUGUGGAAUCAAGGGAAAGCAGUGCUAUAACAUCUCUUUUGUUCAUAGUGAAAUCCAGCCAGUGGGCUGUCAAUGCAGAAGAGUGGACGUAGGCUUGGAAUAAGCCGAACCACUAUAAACCUUGUGUUCAAAUUUUCUCUUCCCUACUCUCUGCUUUACUUUGAUCAUAGUUUGAUUUGUUAACUAAAGGAGAGCUUCCUUUCUGCUGUUUGUCUAGUAUUGCUUUCAUAUCUCGAGAAAUUAUUUUUACACCUAUUCACCCCCCUCUAGGUGCUUAUACUAGCUAUAUCAAUUAGUAUCAGAGCUUGUGUACUCACUUUGUUUGAAGUGUUUUACUUCAGAGCUAAAGAUCCAUGGCUAGUAUGCUAGUUCCAAGGCUGGUCGAAAGGCAAAGUAAUACCAGACCACCUUACUUUGAUAAAAAUGAUUACAACAUCUGGAAAAACAAGAUGAAAGCGUUUCUACGAUCAAAGAAUCCUCUGGAAUGGGACGUUGUAGAAAAAGGAAUUACUCCUAAAGCUGCAUCUGUCACAAAGAGAGGAAAAGAAACUGUUGAGUCAAGUGAAAUGACUCAGGAAGAGAUAAUCAAGAGACAAGCUCUUAAUGCAAAAGCAAUUUAUUCUUUAUAUUGUGCUUUGUCACUUAUUGAAUAUAACAAAAUAUCUUCUUGUGUUACAGCAAAAGAAGUCUGGGAUAGAUUACAUAUCAACUAUGAAGAAACUGAUCGAGUGAAAGAGACCAGGAUCAACAUUCUCCUCGGUCAAUAUGAAGCCUUCAAAAUGAAAUCAGGAGAAUCUAUAACUGACAUGUUUAGUCGUUUUACAGAAAUCGUGAAUGGUCUUCAAAAUCAAGGUCAACCAAUUUCUAAUCCCAUGAAGGUAAACAAGUUACCGCGUGAACUCUCUAAGGAUUGGAAUCACAUAAAGACCUCAAUAAGAGAGACACAAAGAAUCAUGUCACUAUAUGUCGAUGAGUUGGUUGGAACUCUUCAGUCUUAUGAAGUGGAACGAAUCAAUGAAGACGAAGAUCCUAAAGGUAAGAAAUCCAUUGCAUUAAAAUCCAAUGAUGAUUAUGAUGUCACAGAUUCUGAAGACGAUAUGGAUGAUGAGGAGCUUGCUCUUAUGAUAAGAAGAUUCAGAAAGCUGAACAGAAAAGGAAGAAGAUUCAAUCCAAAGAAACAGAGUUUUCAAAAGCAAUAGACCAAGUCUAUUGAUGAUGAUGAAUCAAACAAAGAUGUAGUCUGCUUUGAAUGUAAAAAAAAGGGACACAUCAGACCCAACUGUCCUCUUCUGAGAAAGAAGAAAGGAAAAUCUGAAAAGAAUCGAAAAGCUCUUAAAGCAGAAACUUGGAGUAAUACAGAGUGUGAAGAAAGUGAUGAUGAUUAUGCCAAUAUAUGUCUGAUGGCACAAUCGGAUUCAGAAUCAAACUCCGAGACAGACUCAGAUUCAGAUAGUGAAUUUGAGGUAAGUAACUUUAAAAUCCCUAUUAAAGUUUACAAAUACAUUGAUGAGCUGUGUUUUAGUCUUAAGACUUCUCUUAAAAGGAUUUCCGAACUUAAAAAGGAAAACUCUGCACUAAAACAACAGGAAAAUGUUUUGAAAGAAAAGUUGAAACAUUUAGACAUGAAUGUCUCUACUCUUAAAGAAAGCGAAAAUAAUCUCUUGAAAGAAAAUUCAUUUUUUAAAAAUGACUUAUCAAAUAUUUCAAAAAGAUUUUCAAUAGGAUCUGAGAAACUUGAAAAAAUUCUUUCAGCACAAAGACCUUAUUUCAAUAAAUCUGGUUUAGGAAUGACAGCAGAAACCAUUCCUUUAAUUGAUUUUCCUAAAGUGAAGGAAAGAAUUAAGUAAAGACCUCCAAAGACAUUUUACAAAAAUCAUUUUUUAAAAGUGUUUGUAAAACCAGUGAGUCGAAAUGCUUUCAGAUGUUCAAAGUGCAAUAGUGCAAAUCAUUUUGAAAAAGAGUGUCCUAUGGUUUGGAAACCUGUUAAGAAAGUAUGGGCAAAAACCGCAUAUCAUACUAACACCAAUGGACCCAAAAAAACAUGGGUACCAAAGAAAGCUUGAGUCUCUUUUUUAAAUGCAGGUCACUAUCAAGAAAAAGGUAAAAUGGUAUCUGGAUAGUGGAUGCUCAAGACAUAUGACAGGAGAUUCAAAUUGCUUCAUAAAGCUCGUUCAAGUAAAUGGUGGAAAAGUCUCAUUUGGAGGAAACAACAAAGGAAGAAUUGUGGGAUUUGAAACUGUAAAGAUUGGAAACCUUACAAUAAGCAAUGUUUCCCUAGUGGAAGGACUCAACUACAAUCUGCUCAGUAUCAGUCAGCUGUGUGACACUGGUUUCAAAAUCAACUUUCAAGAGAGAAUAUGUUCAGGAACCAGUAAAGAUUCUACUCAGUCAUUCAUGAGCCGAAGACAUGGAAAUAUCUACCUCUUGGAUGUGAAACCAGAUGAAUCGCAAUGUCUAAUCUCAAUUCAAGAUGAAGUGAGCUUAUGGCACAGAAAGCUUGGGCACAUCAAUAUGAAGCAGAUAGCCAAAAUUUCAGCAAAGAGGCUUGUUCGUGGUCUACCCAAAUUGUCAUACCAAAAGUCUGAUCUAUGUACACCAUGCAUAUUGGGAAAGUAGGUAAGAAAUUCCUUUAAACCAAUAAAUCAAGUUUCCACUAAUCGUGUAUUGCAGCUUCUGCAUAUGGACCUUUUCGGACCAACCAGAACUCAGAGCAUUGGAGGUAAGAAAUAUUGCCUAGUAAUUGUGGAUGAUUACUCACGAUUUACUUGGGUAUAUUUCUUGGCAAGUAAGUCUGAAACUUUCUCUUACUUUGAAAAGUUUGCUAAAAAUGUUCAAAAUGAAAAAGGGUAUGUUAUCUCGAGUAUAAGAACAGAUCAUGGAGGUGAAUUUGAAAAUCAAGAUUUUACAAAAUUCUGUGAUGAAUUUGGUUUUCAGCAUGUGUUCUCCUCUCCAUAUACUCCAGAGCAAAAUGGAGUUGUGGAAAGAAAGAAUAGAUCGCUUCAAGAAAUGGCUAGAACUCUUUUAAUUGAAAGUAACAUCUCUUCACGAUUUUGGGUUGAAGCAGUUUCAACAGCAUGUUAUAUUAUCAAUAGAGUUUUUCUAAGGCCUAUUCUGGAAAAAACCCCCUAUGAGUUAUUCAAAGGAAAGAAGCUUAUUGUUUCAUAUUUUCAUGUGUUCGGAUGCAAAUGCUUUAUAUUGAAAAAUGCAAAUGAUAGAGUUGGUAAGUUUGAAGAAAAAUCAGACGAAUGCAUCUUCCUUGGAUAUUCUACCUCAAGCAAAGCCUACAGAGUCUAUAACAAGAAGAGUCAAUCUAUGGAGGAAUCAAUGAAUGUCAAAUUCCAGGAUUCUAUGCAAAAUGAAUCUACUCAGACUUAUCUUGAAGAAUCUGAACCUGCUCCAGACUCUACAAAGUCUAAAUCUCAAGAAGCAACUCAGACUUUGAAAAAUCAGCAACAAAUGGUUAUUGAAGAUUCAAAUGAAGGAAGUGAUCAUCAACCUGACAAAUUAACCAGUAACUGGAAGCAUAAGUCCAGUCAUCACAAAGACCUCAUUAUUGGCAACAUUAAUGAAGGAAUUUGCACAAGAUCCAAGAGGCGCGAAGAGUCUAGUACUGUGGCUCUUAUUUCUGAAAUAGAACCAAAAAGCAUAGAAGAAGCUUUAUCUGAUGAAAGCUGGAUUGAAGUUAUGUAAGAAGAACUCAGACAAUUCAGUAUUAAUGAUGUUUGGGAGUUGACUCCUAAACCAAAAGGUAAAUCUAUUAUAGGAGCUAAAUGGGUUUUCAGGAACAGGAUGAACGAAAAAGGUAAAGUCGUAAGAAACAAAGCAAGACUCAUGGCCAAGGGAUAUACGCAAGAAGAAGGGAUAGACUAUGACGAGACUUACACACCAGUAGCAAGGUUAGAAGCAAUUCGAUUAUUACUUGCUUUUGCUUGUUAUAAGAAUUUCAGGUUAUUCCAAAUGGACGUCAAAAGUGAUUUCCUGAAUGGAUUUAUCCAUGAGGAAGUCUAUGUGGAACAACCCCCUGGGUUUGAAGACCCAAGGAAGCCAGACUCAGUAUUCAGACUGAAAAAGGCCUUGUAUGGAUUAAAGCAAGCACCUCGAGCUUGGUACGACAGGCUGAGUAAGUUUUUAAUUCAAAAUGGCUUUGAAAAAGGUAAAGUAGACACUACUAUGUUUAUCAAAAGAGAAAGCAAAAGUUUUCUGCUUGUUCAAAUAUAUGUUGAUGAUAUCAUUUUUGGAUCCUCUAAUGAAAGUUUGUGCAAGAAAUUCUCUAAGUCUAUGUAGGAUGAAUUUGAAAUGAGCAUGAUGGGUGAGCUAACCUUCUUUCUUGGACUUCAAGUGAAACAAUUGAAUGAAUGAACUUUUAUUCAUCAAGAAAAAUAUGCUAAAGAUCUUGUCAAAAAGUUUGGACUGGAAAAUUGCAAAAAGACUGAUAUACCAAUGUCAAGUUCCUUGAAGAUAGACAAAGAUGAAGGAGGAAAGAAAGUUGACCAGAAGCUAUACAAGAGUAUCAUCGGUUCACUUCUUUAUCUUACUGCUUCUAGACCUGACAUUUUGUUUAGUGUUUGCAUUUGUGCCAGAUUUCAAGCAGACCCUAAAGAAUCUCAUCUAAGUGCUGCAAAGCGUAUUAUCAAAUACAUUGCUUCAACUUCAAGCAUCGGUCUUUGGUAUCCUAACAAGGGAGACUUUACUCUACUUGGAUAUUCAGACGCAGAUCUAGCCGGUUGCAGAGUUGAUAGAAAGAGCACCUCGGAUACCUGUCAGUUACUUGGAAGCAGGACAGUGUCUUGGUUUUCAAGGAAGCAAAAUACAGUAACUCUUUCUACAGCAGAAGCAGAGUAUGUAGCUCUUGGAAGUUGUUGUUCACAAAUUCUGUGGAUAAAACAACAGCUAAGAGAUUUUGGGAUUGAAAAUUCAUGCACGGAGAUUAAAUAUGACAACACCAGUGCAAUCAAUCUUACCAAAAAUCCAAUUCUUCACUCAAGAGCAAAGCAUAUAGAGAUUCGACAUCACUUCAUUAGAGAUCAUGUUCAAAAUGGAGAAGUUUCGAUUCAGUUUGUUGACUCAAAGAACCAACUGGCGGAUAUAUUUACAAAGCCUUUGGAGAAAAAUUAAUUUGAAAUCAUCCGUUCCAGACUCAACAUCUUGAAGCUUGAAGAAGUUAAAGUCUAGAGACUCGCAGUCUCAAACAAUCAUGGUUCUUGACUGUAAGUUAUUUUAUUUGCUCUUAUAUUAAAUCUCGUAAAGGUACAAUCAUUUAUCCAUUCAUAAUUGAUUUAUGCUAUUUUCAAUUUCCGUGAAAAAUGCAAUUUUUCCUUUUCAAAAAGAGUUAAUGGCAGUUAUCUAUUUUUGAAAAAGGCAGUUAUUUUUUUUUUAAAUGCAUCUUUUAACCUUCCUUUACGACGGUUAGCAUUCCCCCAUUUCGACUAAACGAUAUACAGUCAGUUCCUCUUCACUUAACUCCAAAACCCUAAAAAGCAUCAAUCCUCCAUUCCUGUCUUCCUCCCUUGUUUAAUCUUCGAAAAAGUUGACAUCUUUCUUGGGAAAGUCAAGCAAGGAAUUUUUCGAAGGCUGAGAAAGAUGUUGUCUUCAAGAAAGUCUUCAAGAAUCGCAAGCAGGGGACCACAGCGAAUGAGUGAGUGGCCUACUCACUUUGAUCUCACCGAGGAAGAGGAGUCACCAAGUUAGCAGCAGAGCCCGCAACAUUCUCAGCAGCGUCAUUCUCCACCAUCUAGUCCACAGGAUGCCGGUCAUCAACAAGAGGAAGAAAUCAUUGAAGAUGCAGAUCCUGUAAGAGUUCAAAAGCCCUCUUUUAUUUAUAAGCUUUAUUGUGCGUUAAAGAUCACUGGUACUCCAUUGAACUAUAUCGAUGAGUUUCUUAAGGACAAAGGAUAUGGGAAUGAGUACAUCUUUUUUGCGAAAAAUUGAGAGUUUGGAAAUUGCUCCUAAGGGGUUGGCAGAAAAAACCCUUGCAAAUAUCCCAAGUGAUCCGCGUGUUCGGGGAUUUAAUUCGAUAGAUGGGAAUGAUGAUGACAGAUUGUACAGCCAAUUUCAACCGAGAAUGGGUGUUGUGGCAAAAAUUCGAGGAAAAAGAACAGAGUUGUUUAGAUCGAAGGAACAGAAGGAUCUAUACUCCAAAUUGUUGAAGCGUGGGGUGAUAAACCCUAGGAGUGUGGAUUUUGAUUUCCUUGAUGCUGUGAAUGUCAAUUUGAGGGAAAAGUUCAGUUUUCUUCAACUUGAACAGUUCUGUUCUGACACCACAGAAGCCUAUGCUCAAUUAACUGCAUAUUUCUAUUCAAAUCUUAGUUUCUUGGAUGCGAAUAGAAUCUCUUUCAGCGUCCGAGAUCAGGACUUUGUAGUGGAUGUGGAUAUGUUGGCAGAUGUUAUUGGGGUUGAGAGAGGGAGAUAUCAACCCAUCAGUGUCUCUAUAGCUCGUGCCACAUUGGAACUUGUUAAAGACAGAAGGACAGAGGGAAGGAUUUCCUACUCAAGGAUGCGUGCGUUCAACAUUUUGCUUCACAAGAUUGUGAUAAAUUGCCUCAGACCGAAAUCAACUUCCAAGACUGAUGUUUCUAACUCAGAGGCAAAGCUGAUGUACGCCAUCAAUGCUGGGAAAAAGUUUUCUCUUCCUCACACUAUUCUGUUCCACAUGUAUAGAGGAGUGGUGAAGGACAAUGGCCAACUUCCUUAUCCAGGUCUUGUAUCAAAGAUAUUCAGACAUUUUAAUAUUCAGCCUCCACAAAUUCUCUGUGUUCGACCAUGUGACAAAAUGGUGGUAGGACUGAAAAUGGUGUCCAAAAUGCGUCUGAAAGAGCUCGACAAGGCGUUGGAGAAAUUUAAGGAGAAAAUCCUUGUCAAAUCUCAUCAAGUCUCUUUUGCAGCGAAAAGAAAAGGGAAGGAGCCUAUGGUUACUCCAUCCAAAAAGAGAAAAUCUCUCAUUACUGAUGAAGAUGAUGAGGAUGACCUCACAAUUUCUGCUAUAGCAUUGAAGAAGCUGAGUCGUUCUGUUCAAGAAUCAAUGGAACGAUAGGAGAAGGAAGCAGAGGAGAGAGAAGAACAGGAGAAAGAAGAAGAAGAAACAGAAGCAGAGGAGCAAGAAGCAGAGGAGAAGGAAGAAAAGGAGAAAGAAGUUGAAGAAAAAGAAGCAGAGGAGGAAAGGUUUGAAGAAGAAGAAGAAAGAGAAAAUCAAGAGGAAGGAGAGCAUGAACACUCUUCUCCACCUGAAGCCAUGGAAACAGGGGGAGAUGGUGAGAACAGAGGAAUGUCCUCAUAUCCUGUUAUCAAUGAAGGAGUCAGCCGCUCUCCAGCAGAUCCAGAAUACAUUCAUGCCUCUCAAUUUCCUGAGGAGGGACAUGAUGCUUCAUCGCCAAAUCUGCGUGAUUAUGUUGAUAUACCAUCGUCUGCCUUUACUCCAUCAGAUCGUGCCGAAGCCAGUACGCAGACUGAUAACUCAGUAGAUUUUCGCAGAAUCAUUGAUGUUCUUUUGGAAAUGCGAGGUCGGAUAUAUGCUUUGGAAAGCGAAGUUUAGAACUUGAAGAAUGCAGGACAAGCUUCUUCCGUUUCAUUAUCUGAUCAGAUCCAAGCCCUUGCUCUUCAGAUUCAAGCCAAUGCUAAAGGUGAAGAGGUGGAUCAACUGAAUGAAGAAUUGAAAAAGCUGGAAGGCAUCAUCCAGUCUAUGGGAGAUUUCCAGCUUGUUCGCAUUCCCAAGCAAACUUGACUCCAUUCUAUUCCCAUCCCAAUCUUUUUUUUUUAUGACAAAAAGGGGGAGAGAUGCGAGAUUUGAAAUCUUUGAACUUAAACUUGUUGAAUUUUCAGUUUGUUUUGAUGUUUGACUUGUGUGUCUGUGUCUGUGUCUGGAUGAGGAUUGACUGAACGUGGAUUUGGAUUUGACUGCUGCUUAUAUUAAGUACUAUUGAUAUCUUAUGAAUGGCUUUACUCUCAUGCAAGACUAACCUAUUUUCUGUGGUUGCAGUUUCUAGUGUUAUCGUUAAGCCAUUAAUCUUUAUGAGAUAUCUAUAUUUGCUUGAGUAAUGUUUUGCAGUUCAAAGUUAUUGAAAUCUGCAGGAAAGUUUUGUCACCAUCAAAAAGGGGGAGAUUGUUGGAGAAAUCUUUCUGGAAUAUUCUGAAGCUAACAAAACGUUUCUAUCAGUCUAGUUUGAAGUUUUGCAGACUCUUCUAUUAAAGUCUGAAGACCUCCGGACUACCAGACUCAAGACUUAAAGUCUAUUCUCAUUGACAAUUUUUAAUCCAUUGAAGAAAGGCUAUCCAUAACUGCUUUAUUAAGAAUUUGGCCUUAUCGAUUGGAGAAGAUCUCUUUGCUGGAUAUGACAUAACGGAUUCCUUUAUUCAAAUCAAGAAUGAUUAAAUAUCCGAUGAUUGGCGAAGUAUUCUUGGAAGGUUCUAUUUAUAGAAACCAAGAUCCUGAUUGUAUGGGCGAGCAGGAUUGAUAGGCUAUCGACAUGUUCCUUUAAUAGCUCGAAUGAUCUUCCUAAUUGAUUCUGUCCAAUGGGAGGAUUGUAAGAAUUCAUUUGGUAAGUGCCAACAGGUAUGAUGGCACAAAGGAGUAUAAAAGGAAAACGUUCCAGUUGUUCGAGUGUGUGCACGAUAGAAGAAUUUCAAAGUUUGAAGCUCUUUGAUUCUUAGUCAAUUCACUUACUGAGCGAAAUCUUGUACACAAAAGAGAGUCUAUAUUUUGAGAUACCUUGAGGAAGUGUGGUAGAAUAUCUACACUGUGGAAUAAAGGGAAAGCUGUGCUGUAAUAUCUCUUUUGUUCAUAGUGAAAUCCAGCCAGUGGGCUGUCAGUGCAGAAGAGUGGACGUAGGCUUAGAAUAAGCCGAACCACUAUAAACCUUGUGUUCAAAUUUUCUCUUCAUUACUCUCUGCUUUACUUUGAUCAUAGUUUGAUUUGUUAACCAAAGGAGAGCUUCCUUUCUGCUGUUUCCUUUCUGCUUUUUGUCUAGUAUUGCUUUCAUAUCUCGAGAAAUUAUUUUUACACAUAUUCACCCCCCUCUAGGUGCUUAUACUAGCUAUAUCAGAGGUUGUAGCCGCCGAAGGUAGGGAACUCAAGGUGGCGGAUAUCGGGACGGUAAACGGCAAGGAUGAGGCGGCAGACGCGGGGGACGGGCUCGAACUCGUCGGGGGUGGCGGGGGCCCAUGCGGCGCUGUCGUCGGAGCCGAUGUAGGUGCAGCACUUCCAGACCCACCGGGAGCAGCCCAGGAUCACCAGGUAGUCCAGGGCCAGGCCACACACGCCGCAUCGCAGGCAGUCCAGGCAGCCCACGCCGUCAUCACCGCAGGAGACUGACAUGGUGCCGGCGUCUGAAAAUCUCUAAUAUGUAUUUUACCUGUGAGACACAGUACAAAUGAGAGGGGAGGACAGCUUGUAUAUAUCUUUUCAAUCUAACAACGAAGGAACGACGAAACUUCUAUCUUCCUCGGCCUUUGCAAGCAUAAUAAUCUUUGAGUUAUGAACUUGUGAAGAAAUAAAUUUUCUAAUAAUUUAUAAUUAUUUAUUAUUUGAUUUUUAAUAGUAACAUGUCACAUAAUCAUUUCUUAUCUUGUCAUGUACCGACUUCUACAUUAAUUACAAGAAUUCUCUAAAUAGUGUACAUUUCCCAUGUAACUCGCCCUUCGAGACAUUCUAGGAUUUUUGACCCUUCAAAUGCUUUAAUGCUUGCCUGGUCUUUCUUGAUGAUGCUCAAUUUAUUGUACGUUGAAAAUCUCCGUAUGGCGACACCUAUCUCUAUCUUUCUUGUGUUUUCUAGGUGAUGUGUAUUAAUGAUUUAUAGAUCAUUUCGGGCUUGCUUGAUUGACCGUAACGUCACAGGAUUUAAAAGUGGAUAGACAAGAUGCUUAGCCGUCUAUGUUCGACGUAUCAAACACACGACGUUAAGCCGUGUUCUUCUUUUUCUUGAAAAUUGAAAUGAAGAGGGUCAGCUUUCCUUUGCUGUAGCUGAGCCUGGAUCUGUGCGCUCUUUGCUUUGCUUAGUGACGACGGCGGGUUCCUUUUGUCUCUCCGUCUUUAUUUCUUGUGUUUUCUUGUGGGGGCGACGAUGCGUUUCAAGAUUUGGACCUGGUCGCUCGAUUUGACUGCAGUGUGACACGCUGUAAAAGCGGACAAAGCAAGAUGCUUUACCGACACGUGGCCACGUCGUGGUUCCUCUUUUUUCUUUGCUUUCUUUAUCUUCUUCAUUGAUAGAAUAACCCGGGAGAGCACCGAUCGUCGGAAAGAGCGAUCGCGGUGGCCGCCGCCGCCGUCAUGGCUGCCCCCAUCCCCCGUUGCCGCGUAUACUCCUGCACAUUGAGAUCACUUCUAGUUUAUAGCAUCUUGAGGUCCUAAAGUCUUUCUUGACCCCAAUUAAAGCGACUACCUUUAGUUGGGCAGAAUGAAAUGAAAUCAAAGAAGAGGAAAUGUAAGUAAAUUCUUUAUUUGUUAAAUUAUGACACUGGAAUAAAAUAGAAUAUGAAUUUUUAGGAUAAUUAUAUAAGUGAUUCAUGAACUUUGGAUAACUGUGCAAUACCAUUCUUAAAUUUAUUAUUCGUUUAAUCUAGUUUUCGAACUUUUGGUAAAGAAUUCAAUUUAGUUCCUUAUUGCAUAAAAUAUUCAAUGUAAUCCUUCCAUUAAUUUAAGUUAAUGGAAUUUAUUGAUUUGACUUUCAAAUCCAUGAUUCCAACAAAAUAAAAAUCACUUUUCUUAAAAUUGAACAAAAAAAUAUUAACAAGGAUAUAUAUUCUAAUUUAAGUUGAAUUUUUUGUGGAUAAUAUAUGUGUGGCGUUCUUCUUUUCUUGGUCAACCAUUUAAACGUAUAAACUUUAAAACCAAAUCAGCAAAUUCCUUUAACAUGAAUUAAUAGAAAGAAAACAUUGAAUAUUUUUAUAUAAUCUAAAGACUAAAUUGAACAUGAAAAUUUCGGGACCACAUUGAAUAAAUUAAAAUUUUAGAGGUGACAUUGUACAUUAGACCAAAAUUUAAAAAUCAAAUCGAACCAACUAAUAGAUAAGGAACGACAUUCCAUAUUGGCCAAAAUUUAUGGACCAUUUAUAUUAUUCUUGGUUGCAUGUAAAGCAAUAUGGAGCAUCACAUAUCAAUCUUUUUUUCUUUUUUUUCCAGUUAUCAUAUAUCAAUCUAACUUAACAAUCAAUUUAGUGCUUAAAUGACAAACACCUUCUAAACUCGUGAUUUUCAUCUAACGUCCAAUUUGCAUGAUCCAUAUGUUGUUCAAAUGCUCGUGCAAUAUACUUCCUUGGAAUGAGCGAGUUUUCUUCUCUUUUUUUCCCCUUGGUCAUAAGAAUGAGCGAGUUGGAAAAGUUAUAUUUGUAGACUUUUACAUGUACUAGUGAUUAAUUCGUGCCUUCGACGUUUUAAGAAUGGUCAUACAUAUAUCAAAAUAUAUAUCAUGAACAUUGUUCUAAUAAGCAUAUAAAAGGCCGAAAAUAAUUGAUAUAAAACAAACUCAUAUACUUUUUGUUUCUGUAAAAAAAAUGUUUUUGUAUUGUAACAACUCAUCAUUAAGAUGUACUUCUUGUCUCUAGUAGCAAUGAGCUGUGUACAUUUAGCAUAUUCUUUUUCUUUGAUCUUUUCAAAGAAAUUUUAAUAGUAUUAGAAUUGCUGUUAGAAAGGUUCGAGACGUCUCUCAUAUAUAUUAACAAUUUACGCGUUGAAUGCAAUUAGCUAAUGGCCUAAAUUUUAUGAAAAUAAAUUUCACUGCCUUUUCUUGCUUAACAAGACUAGAAAUAAAUAUGUGGCAUCAAAUACCAGCUUAACAUAGGUUUUGCGUGUUUUGCUAAAAAUUCAUUCUCUUCGAAUUAUCACCUGACGAAGGACAGAAAAAUAUUACAUUUAUAGGCAAGUGCAUAAAAAAUAAGGGAAAAAAUUAUAUAGAAAUGUUAAAAAUAAUAACAUAGAGAGAAUAUAGUCUUGCGUGUUUUGCUCAACAUACAUUCUCUUCGAAUUAUCACUUGACAAAGGACAGAAAAAUAUUACAUUUUUUGACGAGUGCGUAAAAAACAAGGGAAAAAAUUACGUAGAGAGAAUAUUGUAAAGAGCCAGAAUCUUAACAAAUCUUAGUGAUGCGUAUAUUGUAAAUAGCCAGAAUAUUGCAAACUAAGCAAACGCCAUAACAAGGAGAAUCAGUAUUAUCUGGCCAAGAGAAAAGAUUCAGUAUUUAAGCAUCUGAAUGAAUCACUCUGUCAACACUCAACCGUGAUUCUUCGUCUCCCAAAAAUUUUUUAGCUUGAUGCGUAUUGCGUGUAGUUAAACUUUGCAGCUGAUGAACUGAAUUGUAUAAUUAUUUGCUGAGAGGAAAAACAAACCCCGAAUUCUCGACUGAUCCAUGCUGGACCAACCUGUUCUCGUUACUUUGGUCAAUGAGUUUAGCAUUUCUUGAGUUCGUUUAUCCAGAAUCCGGUCACUCAAUUUAUCAGGCUUCCUGUGAGAAAGGUUUCGCCAAUGCAGUUUCUAACAAGUCUGCAUGUAGACAAGAUUGAUGAAAAUCUAUGUAAGUUUUCUUGCUUAUAGGUGAACCCACUGCUAUUUCUUGAGAAUGAAUCAACCAAGAAACAAUUAGAAGUUAAAAGCAACAAAGCAACCAAUUCGAAUCGCUAGAACAACUUCCGUGCACACCCUUCUUGUAGUAGUAACAGGCCCUUCAAACUUGGCAACCAGAUUUCUUCAAUGUGCAAAACGAAGUCACUGCCUUUACCACGCUAAGACUUGGGGAAAGAUCUUCACAGGUCUACCAAUUCUGACUCCAGGAGUCAGAGUAGGCCAACUGCUGCUUGAGACUAUUCCUAACCACCAUUUAAGCAAUGAAAAAUCAGAAACUUUUGCCCAAUUCAAGAUUAAGAGGUACUCUACUGAGCUCUCACAAUUAGGAUUUCAGCUCCACUAUUUGCUAGAAUCAUUCGAUGGUAUCGGAAAAAGUUUCACCUAAUAAGUAGCAAACUUGAAGAACAGGGCAUGACUGACUUCCAUUCAUUUUUGUAUCAGCUACAAUAAAAUAAGUCUGGCUCCCUUGGACCACUCCUAUAUACCAGACAAAACUAGGAAAAUGUCAAGAAUGAAGCUUGCUUUCAUUGCUUAUUUCGCCGGCUGUUAUGGCGAUGGGUGCUUGGGACUUGCCAGUCACAUUCAUCUUCGGCGAUUUCUUAAGGGAAGUUGGAAACAAUGAUCGCUCUCAGUACUCUCUGGCAAAGUCUGAACUAAUCCGUGGUACAGCAUAGAUUAUGAAGGUUGACAGGCAGAUGGGAGUUUCACAAAUGGGAGGACCAUUGGUGACAACUUGUGUAAUUUCACAGAUCUCGUGUCUUGUUCUCGGUUUGUUUUUCGUACUUAAAUUUAGAGAAACUGCUUCAUGCAUACAGUAUCAGUAUCAGCAAUUUCCCAGAAUUUAUUCUGUCAUAAUUCACUCUGGCAGCUGCAAAGCUUGGAAUUUCUUUGCCGCUGCCGUAUUCGUCAUUGUAACCGAACAAUGACACAAUCCUUCAAGGGGUCAGUUAGGCAUCUGGUGAAGCAGGAAUUCUCGACGAGACUGGGCUCUAUUUUGUAAUGAACAUCUUCUAACAAUAAAUACUUUUUUUUCUACUCGAGGUCACUUCUGUUCUUCACUUGGUAUCAGUUCUUGUUAACUUUCUUUUGCCACGGCGGCUUUCUUUUGUAGAUCCAGAGGCUAUCAUUCGUUGAUCAGAUCAACUACUUCAACAAGACCAAAGAAGCAAUCGACGCUAAAAUUGGAGAGGAAGCUGCAAACAAGUUCUGCAAUAAAGCCCUCUUCCUUAUUGGCCUUGGGAUUGAUAAUUCUCACUACUCGGCACCUCUGCGAUAAAGACGCAGGAUGGUGGCCAGUGAUAAACGUUAUUUAAUUGCAUUUUAAACCUCCAAAAUGAUGGUGGUUAACUUAGAAGAUAAUUGUUACCAAAGAAACGAAAUGACAUGAAUAGAAUUGAAUUUCAGCCCCAUCUGACUCUGUUUCCUUAAAACACAGUAUCUUAGUCAGAUUUUGUGGUGCAUUUAGGGACAAAAUCUAGCAUUUUUUUUUCUAGCAUUUACUAAACAUCAUUUUGGGAAAAUGUGCAUUUGCACCCAUAUAUUCAACUCUAAAAUUCCUGACUGGAUGUUGGCAUGGCUUGCUACGUCGGACCUCUUGGGUUUGAAGCGGUAUGCUAUUGAUUUUUGGGAUAAUGACAGUAAAGUGUUCCUUAGAACUUUACAUUGAUUGUUAGAUUUAGUAUCUACAAUUUAAUUUCGAGAUUCCCAUUAUCAAAUAAUCUGGUUUUCAUGACUCCUUGAAUUGCAUGGUUAGGCAAUUCGGUAAGCAAAAUCUUAUAUGAAAUUAUUGGAGAAAACUAAUUUGAUAUUUUGAAGUUGACAAAACUUAUCCAAAGUCUAUUAUGAAGAUUUCUACAGUUCUGUGUCAAAGUCUGAAAACUGCCAAACUUUAGUAUCAAAGUAUGUUCUUUAUUAGAAGUCUAUCCAUUCUGACAAAUUUCAGACUAAACGCAAGUGAAGAAUGAAGACUUACCCAAAUGAGGGAUCAUCUUUCUUUCUUCAAAAAUUCGGUUCGUACAGGUUAUAUAUGACAUUCUGAAUGUGGAAAUAUCACAUACGAGAUUGAUUAUCUUUAUUGGAAUCAAUUUAGAUAUAUCAAAUCUUUUCGAAUAGCAAGUAAAUUUGUAAAGAAUCUACUUAUGGAAAUCAAAAUCUUGAUUAUAUGGGCGAACAAGAUUGACGUGCUUCCAUCACAAUUUUCAAACGGCUCGAAGAUCUCCUUAAUUAAUUAUGUCCAAUGGGUUGAUGGGAAGAACUCAUUUUGAAAGUGUAAUGGUUGAGAAGGCAUGAAGGAGUAUCUAAUGAGACAUCUCCAGUCAUUCGAAACAGUGCAUGAAAAAGAAAUUCCAAAAUCUGAAACUUCCCAUUUUCUUGUUAUUCUUACAUUGAGCUCAAAUUGUACUCAUAAGAGAGAGACUCAUAGUGUAACUUCGUGAGAGAGCAAUAAAGACUCUUCAUUGUGAAGUCAAGAUUGCAAUAUUGUAAAUUCUCUUUUGAUUCAUAGUAGAAACCAGCCAGGAGGCUAUCAGCAUGGGAGAGUGGACAUAGGCUCCCUGAACUUCUUUAUUUUGUUCGUAAUUCUAUUUAACUUCUAAAGUCUGAAAUCGUUCAAAGUUUUUUGUUCUCCAGACUCAGUUUCAAAAGUAAAAUAUUUAUUCUAAUCUUUGCGAAAAAUUGUCUUCACAUCUAAAGUCUGAAAUCGUUCAAAGUUUGUUGUUCUUCAUACUCAGUUUCAAAAGUAAAAUAUUUCUUCUAAUCUUUGCGAAAAAUUAUCUUCACAUCUAUUAAGCUCCCAUCUAAGUGUUCAUACUAGCACUCACAGAAAUGACUAUAACAUAGCUACUGCCUUAGUGGGAGAUUUGAUAACAAUUAAGAGAGAGAAAGAGAGAGAGGAACAAGGAAAGUGAAUUUCAUCAUCAAGCGGCAAGAGGUAGAGAAGCAUACAGAGAACUCUACGAGUUCAGUAAAAUAGCAUUCGCCUCUGUUCUAGAUUCGUUGAUAUAUAUGAUUUGCAACUCAUUUACUUGAUUGUUUAGAUAAAAGAAAUGUAAGUGACAAGAUCAUUUUUUAGACUAACCCAAUCAAAGUACGCAUUAGUCGUUGAAAUGAAUCGAAUAUGAUGUAACUACUCAGGUAUUUUUUAUCUAAAUCAUACAUCCUAAGUUUCAUAAUCAAGUGAUAAACUUUUGAGCUGAAUUUAAAAGUUAAAACUAAGAGGAGAAAAUUACAAUUUUGUAGUUCAUGGAUAAGAGAUGCUAAUAAAUACUAAGAAAAUGUAGUAAGUUUCAUUCAAUAAAUGAUGUGACAAGUGACUAUCGAUGACCAAAAUGAACCAUAGGAGCUCACGCUUUAAGUAACUAAAAAAAACAAACUAUAUGUGAAGAUGAUUUUCAAUGAUGAACCAGGCACCAUUCCUCCAGCACCACUCCUCUAAGAUAUUACAACCAUCUUAAAAUAUGGUAAAUGAGUUCACCUUAUCCGUCACAGAGGAUUCACUCUCUAUAGAAUGCCAUACAGUGAGAAAAAUGCAACUAAAAAGAAGUAAUAUAAUGACAAGAGGCCGGAUAGCCGUAAAAGAAUCAGCGAAAAUGUAGGGUCACAAGCUGCGCCGGGAUUCUGCAGAAUCCUUUUCCUGGCAGAACGAGUAACUAUGCACCAUAGAAAUAAAAUGGAUAGAUCCAGUGAAGAACAGGCCCUGGAAAACAAAGUCCGGAGAAGAGGAAAGCGUUAUGUUGGGUCAUUUGUUUCUCUAUUAAGAUGUAGCUUCCCUGAUUCAUUUCUCUUCAUGAGCUUUUUGACGACUUUGUCCCAUUUGGUCCUCAGAUCACGAGGCCUGGCUUUGUCAUUCAGGACAACAUCAGCAGACUUUCCUUCCUGUGAAGGCCGUGAUUCUUCAUCUUGAC
rnacentral:lncRNA from 1 species